GAUUGAACGCUGGCGGCAUGCCUUACACAUGCAAGUCGAACGGCAGCACGGGUGCUUGCACCUGGUGGCGAGUGGCGAACGGGUGAGUAAUACAUCGGAACAUGUCCUGUAGUGGGGGAUAGCCCGGCGAAAGCCGGAUUAAUACCGCAUACGAUCUACGGAUGAAAGCGGGGGACCUUCGGGCCUCGCGCUAUAGGGUUGGCCGAUGGCUGAUUAGCUAGUUGGUGGGGUAAAGGCCUACCAAGGCGACGAUCAGUAGCUGGUCUGAGAGGACGACCAGCCACACUGGGACUGAGACACGGCCCAGACUCCUACGGGAGGCAGCAGUGGGGAAUUUUGGACAAUGGGCGAAAGCCUGAUCCAGCAAUGCCGCGUGUGUGAAGAAGGCCUUCGGGUUGUAAAGCACUUUUGUCCGGAAAGAAAUCCUUGGCUCUAAUACAGUCGGGGGAUGACGGUACCGGAAGAAUAAGCACCGGCUAACUACGUGCCAGCAGCCGCGGUAAUACGUAGGGUGCGAGCGUUAAUCGGAAUUACUGGGCGUAAAGCGUGCGCAGGCGGUUUGCUAAGACCGAUGUGAAAUCCCCGGGCUCAACCUGGGAACUGCAUUGGUGACUGGCAGGCUAGAGUAUGGCAGAGGGGGGUAGAAUUCCACGUGUAGCAGUGAAAUGCGUAGAGAUGUGGAGGAAUACCGAUGGCGAAGGCAGCCCCCUGGGCCAAUACUGACGCUCAUGCACGAAAGCGUGGGGGAGCAAACAGGAUUAGAUACCCUGGUAGUCCACGCCCUAAACGAUGUCAACUAGUUGUUGGGGAUUCAUUUCCUUAGUAACGUAGCUAACGCGUGAAGUUGACCGCCUGGGGAGUACGGUCGCAAGAUUAAAACUCAAAGGAAUUGACGGGGACCCGCACAAGCGGUGGAUGAUGUGAAUUAAUUCGAUGCAACGCGAAAAACCUUACCUACCCUUGACAUGGUCGGAAUCCCGCUGAGAGGUGGGAGUGCUCGAAAGAGAACCGGCGCACAGGUGCUGCAUGGCUGUCGUCAGCUCGUGUCGUGAGAUGUUGGGUUAAGUCCCGCAACGAGCGCAACCCUUGUCCUUAGUUGCUACGCAAGAGCACUCUAAGGAGACUGCCGGUGACAAACCGGAGGAAGGUGGGGAUGACGUCAAGUCCUCAUGGCCCUUAUGGGUAGGGCUUCACACGUCAUACAAUGGUCGGAACAGAGGGUUGCCAACCCGCGAGGGGGAGCUAAUCCCAGAAAACCGAUCGUAGUCCGGAUUGCACUCUGCAACUCGAGUGCAUGAAGCUGGAAUCGCUAGUAAUCGCGGAUCAGCAUGCCGCGGUGAAUGCGUUCCCGGGUCUUGUACACACCG
rnacentral:rRNA from 1 species